UGCAGUAGAACGCUGAAGAGAGGAGCUUGCUCUUCUUGGAUGAGUUGCGAACGGGUGAGUAACGCGUAGGUAACCUGCCUUGUAGCGGGGGAUAACUAUUGGAAACGAUAGCUAAUACCGCAUAACAAUGGAUGACACAUGUCAUUUAUUUGAAAGGGGCAAUUGCUCCACUACAAGAUGGACCUGCGUUGUAUUAGCUAGUAGGUGAGGUAAUGGCUCACCUAGGCGACGAUACAUAGCCGACCUGAGAGGGUGAUCGGCCACACUGGGACUGAGACACGGCCCAGACUCCUACGGGAGGCAGCAGUAGGGAAUCUUCGGCAAUGGGGGCAACCCUGACCGAGCAACGCCGCGUGAGUGAAGAAGGUUUUCGGAUCGUAAAGCUCUGUUGUAAGUCAAGAACGGGUGUGAGAGUGGAAAGUUCACACUGUGACGGUAGCUUACCAGAAAGGGACGGCUAACUACGUGCCAGCAGCCGCGGUAAUACGUAGGUCCCGAGCGUUGUCCGGAUUUAUUGGGCGUAAAGCGAGCGCAGGCGGUUUGAUAAGUCUGAAGUUAAAGGCUGUGGCUCAACCAUAGUUCGCUUUGGAAACUGUCAAACUUGAGUGCAGAAGGGGAGAGUGGAAUUCCAUGUGUAGCGGUGAAAUGCGUAGAUAUAUGGAGGAACACCGGUGGCGAAAGCGGCUCUCUGGUCUGUAACUGACGCUGACGCUCGAAAGCGUGGGGAGCGAACAGGAUUAGAUACCCUGGUAGUCCACGCCGUAAACGAUGAGUGCUAGGUGUUGGAUCCUUUCCGGGAUUCAGUGCCGCAGCUAACGCAUUAAGCACUCCGCCUGGGGAGUACGACCGCAAGGUUGAAACUCAAAGGAAUUGACGGGGGCCCGCACAAGCGGUGGAGCAUGUGGUUUAAUUCGAAGCAACGCGAAGAACCUUACCAGGUCUUGACAUCCCGAUGCUAUUUCUAGAGAUAGAAAGUUACUUCGGUACAUCGGUGACAGGUGGUGCAUGGUUGUCGUCAGCUCGUGUCGUGAGAUGUUGGGUUAAGUCCCGCAACGAGCGCAACCCCUAUUGUUAGUUGCCAUCAUUCAGUUGGGCACUCUAGCGAGACUGCCGGUAAUAAACCGGAGGAAGGUGGGGAUGACGUCAAAUCAUCAUGCCCCUUAUGACCUGGGCUACACACGUGCUACAAUGGUUGGUACAACGAGUUGCGAGUCGGUGACGGCGAGCUAAUCUCUUAAAGCCAAUCUCAGUUCGGAUUGUAGGCUGCAACUCGCCUACAUGAAGUCGGAAUCGCUAGUAAUCGCGGAUCAGCACGCCGCGGUGAAUACGUUCCCGGGCCUUGUACACACCGCCCGUCACACCACGAGAGUUUGUAACACCCGAAGUCG
rnacentral:rRNA from 1 species